AACAAACGCUGGCGGCGUGCCUAACACAUGCAAGUCGCACGAGAAAGGGUCCUUCGGGGCCUGAGUAAAGUGGCGCACGGGUGAGUAACGCGUGGAUAAUCUGCCCUUCAGUUGGGAAUAACUCAUCGAAAGGUGGGCUAAUACCGAAUAAUGCUGUGAGACCUCGGUUGAUCAGCCAAAGAGAGCCUCUGCCUGCAAGCCCUCGCUGAAGGAUGAGUCCGCGUACCAUUAGCUAGUUGGUAGGGUAAUGGCCUACCAAGGCGACGAUGGUUAGCUGGGCCGAGAGGAUGAUCAGCCACCAUGGAACUGGGACACGGUCCCGACUCCUACGGGAGGCAGCAGUGAGGAAUCUUGCGCAAUGGGGGCAACCCUGACGCAGCAACGCCGCGUGAGUGAGGAAGGUCUUCGGAUCAUAAAGCUCUGUCGGAUGGAAAGAACCGCAUAGGGGUAAACAGCCCCUGUGUCUGACGGUACCAUCAAAGGAAGCACCGGCUAACUCCGUGCCAGCCGCCGCCGUAACAC
rnacentral:rRNA from 1 species